UAAAGAAAGAUUGGGAGAGGGGGAAAAGGAAAUUGGGAGAGGGGAGAUAAAUAAAGAUUGGGAGGGGGAUAAAUAAAGAUUGGGAGGGGGGAUAAGGAAAUUGGGAGGGGGGGAGAUAAAUAAUCCAAUCUUUACUUAUCCCCCCCUCCCAAUUUCCUUAUCCCCCUCCCAAUCUUUCUUUAG